rnacentral:rRNA from 1 species
AGUGAACGCUGGCGGUAGGCCUAACACAUGCAAGUCGAACGGCAGCACAGGAGAGCUUGCUCUCUGGGUGGCGAGUGGCGGACGGGUGAGGAAUACAUCGGAAUCUACUCUGUCGUGGGGGGUAACGUAGGGAAACUUACGCUAAUACCGCAUACGACCUACGGGUGAAAGCAGGGGACCUUCGGGCCUUGAGCGAUUGAAUGAGCCGAUGUCGGAUUAGCUAGUUGGCGGGGUAAAGGCCCACCAAGGCGACGAUCCGUAGCUGGUCUGAGAGGAUGAUCAGCCACACUGGAACUGAGACACGGUCCAGACUCCUACGGGAGGCAGCAGUGGGGGAAUAUUGGACAAUGGGCGCAAGCCUGAUCCAGCCAUACCGCGUGGGUGAAGAAGGCCUUCGGGUUGUAAAGCCCUUUUGUUGGGAAAGAAAUCCAGCUGGCUAAUACCCGGUUGGGAUGACGGUACCCAAAGAAUAAGCACCGGCUAACUUCGUGCCAGCCGCCGCGGUAA